rnacentral:lncRNA from 1 species
GGGUGGAUCGGUUCAAAAUGGAUGAGGAAGCCCUUUGCUGGUGAUUAGAUUCAUUCAACAAUUUAUUUAUAAAACACCCAACAAAUUAAACUCCAAUUUAUGAAUCCGAACUCACAAAAUUAAGGAAAACAAGUGUUUUGAAAUUCAGGUGUGAAAUGGAUUAUUGAGCAUGGCAGCUGCUACAAGCACACUUAAAAUUGAUUCAAUUGAAAACAACAGCCUCCUCGUGAACUUCAUGAAAAUUUAUUUGGAUGUUUCAAAUAAUUUGUAAUUAUAAAACUGACCUUUUCAUUUGCUUCCAAAUCUUUCCAUCAAAAUCAACGAAUAAAUAAAAAAUGUAAACACAAGUUACACAAGUCCACCGACACGACAGCAGCGGCGGGCUACCGACGACACGACCACAACGAACGGGAGGCGACGCUGACACGAGCACGACCGGAUGAACUACGACAGGCUGACACGAGCGCGAUGGCGACGACUACGGUGACAGGCUGGCUAAUAAGCGACAGUGGUGGAUGGAAUGUGUGUAUCAGCGAGAGUGAGACAGAUGGUGAGGGUGUAUGUGUGUGUCGGCUAGUGUGUGAGAGAGAGAUGGUGGGUGUGUGCAUGAUUUUAAUGUUUAUAAUUAUUUUAUUUAUUUAUAAAACCGAAAUUAAAUCUAAUUAACAUAAAUUUUGGUUCGGCUCGGUUUGGAAAACCGAAUCGAACCCACCCCAAUCAGAAUUAAAAUCCAUCCCAAAAAAAAAUAAAUUAAUAAACUCUUCUUCACUCUAGGGGUGUUCAAAAUCUAAUCUGAUUUGCUUAAUUUGAUCUACAAAAAAUUUGAUCUACAAAAAAUUUGUUCUAUAAAAAUCCGAUCUGUGGAUUAGUGGAUUGAAUUAGAUUAAAAAUUUAAAAAUCCGCAGUCAAUAAAUUAGAUAUAGAUUUACUUCUAUAAAUUCAUAAAAAUCUGUAAAUUUGCAAAAACAAAAAUUAUUUAAUUAAAAUAUUAAACUUGUAAAUGUGGCAUUACUACUUACUAAUAACAAAAUAAGUUAAAAAUGUAGUUACGUUAAUAGCAUAUUAUAUCUUAUUCAUGAUAAUAUAAAAUAAAAAAUAAUUAAAUAAGUAAAAAUAGCUUCUUAAACAGUUAAUUUUCAUAAUUUUAGUUAAUUUUUAUGUAUUGAUUUAAAAAAAUGAGAUUGUUUCUUCUUGUUGUUUUAUAUUUGAAACUUUGAAUGUAUUUUUCUAGUUUUAUUUAAAUGAUUAAUUUAUUUAAAUCUUAUUAAAUUUUAAAUUUGACAAAAUUAAAAAUUCUUAACUUACAAACUAACCCAUGGCCAUAAAAUUGUGGAUUGGAUAUGAAUUAGGUCAAAUACACAUCCGAUUCACAUGGAUUGAAUUUGAAUUGAAUUUCAAUAAUUCGUAGAUUGAAUUGGAUUAAAAAUUUAUAAUAUAAAAAAUUGUUAAUUGGAUAUGGAUUGAUAUCCAAUCCAUAACAUCUAAUCUGUGAAUACCCCUACUUCACUACCGUCAAGGAAUUGUUGCUUUUCCAAGUCGAAAGUAUUUAGUUGUCCAUUUGAUCAAUUAAUGUAUUAAGUAUCUUAUAUUUAAAGCAAUAUUUUUCAAAUGACCGCAAUUAAAAAAGUUAUUCUCUACUUCAAUAAUUGAAAACUUUGUAUAGUCUUGUUUAAUCACACGAGUUUGGAGAGAAAAGAGAGGUAAUUAAUCAAAAACUAUGUAAAGCAACAACGAUAGCAAGUUCUCUUCUGGAGCCUUCGAUUCAGGAGCUGGCAAUGAAGCCAAUGACGACUAAAGUUCCACCACGAUAUGUUCGCCCUGAUAUAAAAGAUGUAAUGAUCUGCAACAACAACAAUUCUUCAACAGAACAACUUCCAGUCAUUGUCAAAGUCAUGGUUGGGCGGUUUGGCACCAUUAACAUUUUUCAAAAUGGCCACCCAAAUUGAAGUCCAAGUAGAUGCCGCUCAAGGAAAGGAAAAAAAAAGGGAAAUUUUGACAAAGAAGAAAGACGAAUGAAGAAAAUGCUGCAAAUGGUGGUUGGCACACCAAAAUGGAAGAAAAGAAAAAAAAAUUAUUAUUUUAAUAGCCAAUUUUGGCUAUAAAUGGGGGGGUUCCCCAUCGGCUUAGAGCAUCCAAAUUUUUCAUUUUAUUUCUUAUUCUUUAGAGAGAAAGUGAGAGUAUUUUAAGAGUUUUAACAAACUCUUGAGUGAUUUGUGAUUUGAGAGUUUUGGGUGUAUUGGGGUUUUGGGUAGUGAGACAAAAUACCACAAUACUUGUAACUCAUUUUCACUAGUAAAAUAUUUUCCUUCUGUUUUUGCAUGUGGACGUAAGUUAAAAGCCGAAUCACGUAAUUUCUGGGGUCCUCUACUGUGCUUGUUCUUUAUUUUCUUCUAAUUUUAUUUUAGUUGUGUGUCUGCUUCACCCACCAAUUUUCUUAUAGUGGUAUCAGAGCUAUUGGUUGUAUUUUUUGGAGUUGGGUAUUGUUCACGUAUACGACACUGUUCACGUAUACGACACUGUUCACGUAUAUGAUACUAUUCACGUAUACGAUACUAUUCACGUAUACGACACUGUUCACGUAUACGACACUGUUCAUGGGAAACGGUGGGAGUAAUCCAAGAAUUUUUGCGGUGCAAAGUAGGGAAUAGUAGUGUGAGUGGAGUAACUGUGUGGUUUUGAACAUGUCUAGAAAAGUUCUGUCACAAAGGCGAUAAGAGCCUAAGGAGUCUAGGUUUUAAGUGAGACCGUUGUGACCCCCCCAGUCUUUCCUGGGAACUUUCCUGGUGUGCAUAUUCACACAUACUCACAACUAUUCGAGGUGAUACACUGGUUUGUGUACUGUAUUUAUCAACAAAAUGGCGGCAAAGUAUGAAAUUGAGAAGUUUAACGGAAAUAAUUUUUCGUUGUGGAAAAUGAAGAUGAAAGCUGUAUUGAGGAAAAAUAAUUGCUUGGCAGCAAUUGGAGAAGGUCCAUUGAGAUAACUGAUGACAAGUGGAAUGGGAUAGAUGGCAACGCCAUUUCUGAUCUACACUUAGCACUUGCGGACAUAGUAUUAUCCAGUGUGGCAAAGAAAACUACAGCAAAAGAAAUAUGGGAUACUCUCACAAAAUUGUACGAGACCAAAUCACUACACAACAAAAUUUUCUUGAAGAGGAAACUCUAUACUCUUCGAAUGGCAGAAUCUAUAAUGGUGACCGACCACAUCAACACCUUGAAAAUUCUAUUUUCACAACUCACAACGUUGGGUCAUAAUAUAGAGGAAAAUGAACGUGCGAAACUUCUACUUCAAAGUCUACUAGAUUCAUAUGAUUAACUCAUCAUCAACCUGACGAACAACAAUUCAAUGGACAGUCUAAUUUUCGACGAUGUUGCAACCUUCGUAUUAAAUGAGGAAAGUAGGCGAAAAAACAAGGAAGACAUACUGGUGAGUUCGCAGCAGGCAGAAGCGUUAUCAGUGACGAGAGGGAGAUCAACGGAACGUGGCCCCAAUGGGAGUCACAAUCAUGGUAGAUCCAAAUCCAGAAGUAAGAAGAAUGUUAAAUGCUACAACUGUGGUAAGAAAGGACAUGUCAAGAAAGAGUAUUGGAGUAACCAGAAGAGAAAAGAGGGCAAAGAACCUAAGUCAUCAAAUGCUCAGGGGUGUGUAGCAAGUACCUCAGAUGAUGGCGAAAUUCUCUACAACGAGGCAACAACUGUUUCAGAAGGCAGAAAACGAUAAUCUGAUGUCUGGCUUAUAGACUCAAGAGCUACCUGGCACAUGACCUCUUGGAGAAAAUAGUUUCACACAUAUGAACCUAUCUCAGGAGUAUCUGUAUAUAUGGGUAAUGAUCAUGCCUUGGAGAUCGCUGAUAUUGGUACUAUCAAAAUAAAAAUGUUUGAUAGUGCAAUUCGCACAAUUAGGGAGGUACGUCAUGUCAACGGCCUGAAGAAAAAUCUAUUGUCUUUGAGACAAAUGGAUAGUCAUGGGUACAAAACUCAUGUGGAGAAUAAAAUUAUGAAGAUCGUUAAAGGCGCGCUUGUAUUGAUGAAGGCAGAAAAAAUCGGUGCUAAUCUAUUCAUGCUUAAAGGAGAAACAUUACAGGAGGCUGAUGCAUGUGUCGCAUCAAAUGGAGAAGAGUCAACGAUGAUGUGGCAUCUCAAACUUGACCACAUGUCAUAACAAGAUUUGAAGAUUUUCUCUGAGCGAAAAUUGCUUCCAGGACUUAAAUCGGUACGUUUACCAUUUUGCGAGCAUUGUGUUACAAGUAAGCAUCAUAUAUUAAAGUUCAGUAGAUCUAUUGCUAGAAGUAAACGCAUUCUAGACUUGAUUCAUUAUGAUGUUUGGGAAUCGCCGGAUAUGACCAUGAGAGGUGCAAAGUACAUGGUGACUUUCAUUGAUAAUUAUUCUAGGAGAUGUUGGGUGUAUCUAAUUAGGAAAAAGUCAUAUGUAUUUCUAGUGUUUAAAGAAUACAAAGUGCGGAUGGAACUUGAAUCCGGAAAAAAGAUCAAGUGCUUGAGGACGGAUAAUGGUGGAGACUAUACAGCGGUGAGUUUCUUGCUUUCUGUAGGCAAGAAGGUAUUCAGAGGCAGUUCACGGUAGCAUACACUCCUCAACAAAAUGGAGUGGCAGAGCGGAUGAAUAGGAUUCUUACAGAACGAAUACGAGCUAUGUUGAGGACUGCUGGUCUACCCAUCUACAACUAUUGGGCUGAACACAGCGAUGGAGAU